rnacentral:rRNA from 1 species
ACUACGGGGCGCAGCAGUGGGGAAUAUUGCACAAUGGGGGAAACCCUGAUGCAGCGACGCCGCGUGAGUGAAGAAGUAAUUCGUUAUGUAAAGCUCUAUCGGCAGGGAAGAAAAUGACGGUACCUGAGUAAGAAGCCCCGGCUAACUACGUGCCAACAGACGCGGUAAUACGUAGGGGGCAAGCGUUAUCCGGAUUUAUUGGGUUUAAAGGGUGCGUAGGCGGAAUGCCAAGUCAGCGGUAAAAUAGCGGGGCUAAACCUCGCUCCGCCGUUGAAACUGGCGUUCUGUAGUGG